rnacentral:rRNA from 1 species
UACGAAGGGGGCUAGCGUUGCUCGGAAUCACUGGGCGUAAAGGGCGCGUAGGCGGCCAUUCAAGUCAGAGGUGAAAGCCCAGGGCUUAACCCUGGAAUUGCCUUUGAUACUGUUUGGCUUGAGACCGGAAGAGGUAAGUGGAACUGCGAGUGUAGAGGUGAAAUUCGUAGAUAUCGCAAGAACACCAGUGGCGAAGGCGACUCGCUGGGCCGGUACUGACGCUGAGGUGCGAAAGCGUG